AGUGAACGCUGGCGGUAGGCCUAACACAUGCAAGUCGAACGGCAGCACAGUAAGAGCUUGCUCUUACGGGUGGCGAGUGGCGGACGGGUGAUGAAUACAUCGGAAUCUACUUUUUCGUGGGGGAUAACGUAGGGAAACUUACGCUAAUACCGCAUACGACCUACGUUUGAAAGCAUGGGAUCUUCGGACCUUGCGCGAUUGAAUGAGCCGAUGUCGGAUUAGCUAGUUGGCGGGGUAAAGGCCCACCAAGGCGACGAUCCGUAGCUGGUCUGAGAGGAUGAUCAGACACACUGGAACUGAGACACGGUCCAGACUACACCGGGAGGCAGCGGUGGGGAAUAUUGGACAAUGGGCGCAAGCCUGAUCCAGACAUACCGCGUGGGUGAAGAAGGCAUUCGGGUUGUAAAGCCCUUUUGUUGGGAAAGAAAAGCAGCAGGUUAAUACCCCGCUGUUCUGACGGUACCCAAAGAAUAAGCACCGGCUAACUUCGUG
rnacentral:rRNA from 1 species